GCUGACACAGAAAGGCAGUAAUGACUUGGUUGUGAACACCCAGAGCACAAUGCAUCCAUGCUGACACAGAAAGGCAGUAAUGACUUGGCUGUAAACACCCAGAGCACAAUACAUCCAUGCUGACACAGAAAGGCAGUAAUGACUUGGUUGGGUACACCCAGAGCACAAUAAAUCCAUGCUGACACAGAAAGGCAGUUAUCACUUGGCUGUGAACACAGAACACAAUACACCCAUGCUGACACAGAAAGGCAGUAAUGACUUUGCUGUGAACACAGAGCACAAUACAUCCAUGCUGAAACAGAAAGGCAGUCAUGACUAUGCUUUGAACACUCAGAGCACGAUGUAUCCAUGCUGACACAGAAAGGCAGUAAUGACUAUGCUGUGAACACCCAGAGUAAGAUAUAUCCAUGCUGACACAGAAAGGUAGUAAUGACUAUGCAGUGAACACCCAGAGCACAAUACAUCCAUGCUGACACAGAAAGGCAGUCAUGACUAUGCAGUGAACACCCAGAGCAAGAUAUAUCCAUGCUGACACAGAAAGGCAGUAAUGACAAUGCUGUGAACACCCAGAGCACAAUACAUCCAUGCUGACACAGAAAGGCAGUAAUGACUUGGUUGUGAACACCCAGAGCAAGAUAUAUCCAUGCAGACACAGAAAGACAGUAAUGACUUGGCUGUGAACACAGAACAAGAUUACCCCAUGCUGACACAGAAAGGCAGUUAUGACUCCGCUGUGAACACAGAACACGAUACACCAAUGCUGACACAGAAAGGCAGUAAUGACUUGGCUGUGAACACAGAGCACAAUACAUCCAUGCUGACACAGAAAGGCAGUUAAGACUUGGAUGUAAACACCAAGAGCACAAUACAUCCAUGCUGACACAGAAAGGCAGUAAAGACUUGGUUGUAAACAUCCAGAGCACAAUACAUCCAUGCUGACACAGAAAGGCAGUAAAGACUUGGUUGUAAACAUCCAGAGUACAAUACAUCCAUGCUGACACAGAAAGGCAGUAAAGACUUUGUUGGGAACACCCAGAGCACAAUUUAUUCAUGCUGACACAGAAAGGCAGUAAAGACUUUGUUGUUAACACUAAGAGAUCCAUACAUCCAUGGGGUGUGCCACAGACGCAAAUUACGCCCACUAUUUUGAACAAGGUGCUUUAAGUGAACAUGUCUGGUUUUGUUAUGAGCACUUAGCACUCCGAGCCCAAAAGGCCUCGCAUUGAAUUGAUGCAAGAGAAGGCUUUGAAAAAUAACAGCAGUUUUGUUGUGUGGUCCAGUACGCCCUUCGACUCUCAACCUUAAGAAAGCAGAACUCAAACUCGGCUCUUAGCAAUAUAAGCAAGACCAGCAUGUCAUCUCAGCUUCUUGAGCUUCAGUGAACUUUACUAGCAAACAUGACAAACGUCAUUGAAGUGAAAGUCGAUGACAACCCCCUUCUUGCACAAAUACUACAACUCGCUUAAGAAAUUCAUCAUGAAGACGUCUUGCGUCAGACUACCAAGCCUCCUAUCAAUAUCUCCUCCCAUGUUGGCUACAUCAACACUUCCAACAGCAGAGCCUUGGUGAAUUCGACUUCCGUCUCAGCAUCAAUGUUGCUUAACAACAAUUGGAUGAUGGACGUCGACAAAUUAGGCCGGACAAGUCGCUCGAACUGAAACGAUCUGAUCCAACAGGUAGAGCAGGCGUUGCGUGACACGUCCAUUAAUGUGACUGACCUCGAUAUGUUGUUCUCAAAUAAUGUGAACCUUAGGCCUGGAGAGCAGUAUGUGGUUGACGCCAUUCAACAACAGUUGUUGUCGGCAAUUCUCGGGUAUUGGGUGGCAACUUCGGCGUCGGGACUCACUCCAUCUCUGUCUAUGGCCCAGUCGCAGCAGCAGCAGCAGCAACAGCAAUAAGAACAAUACGUAGAAUCUUAGCGGUGUUCUGGAAUAUGGAUUUCAUGUAUGUGCUUAAAUUGUCAUCCCAGAUUAGCCUGUGCAGACUGCACAUACAUAAAGUCCUAUUAAAUUGUCAUCCCAGAUUAGCCUGUGCAGACUGCACAUACAUAAAGUCCUAUUAAAUUGUCAUCCCAGAUUAGCCUGUGCAGACUACAUAUACAUAAAGUCCUAUUAAAGUGUCAUCCCUGAUUAGCCUGUGCAGACUGCACAAACAUAAAGUCCUAUUAAAGUGUUAUCCCAGAUUAGCCUGUGCAAACUGCACAUACAUUAAGUCCUUUUAAAGUGUCAUCCCAGAGUAGCCUGUGCAGACUGCACAUACAUUAAGUCCUAUUAAAGUGUCAUCCCAGAUUAGCCUGUGCAGACUGCACAUACAUUAAGUCCUAUUAAAGUGUCAUCACUGAUUAGCCUGUGCACAUUGCACAUACAUUAAGUCCUAUUAAAGUGUCAUCACUGAUUAGCCUGUGCAGACUGCACAUACAUUAAGUCCUAUUAAAGUGUCAUCCCAGAGUAUCCUGUGCAGACUGCAUAUACAUAAAGUCCUAUUAGUGUCAUCCCAGAUAAGCCUGUGCAGACUGCACAUACAUAAAGUCCUAUUUAAGUGUUAUCCCUGAUUAGCCUGUGCAGACUGCACAUACAUUAAGUCCUAUUAAAGUGUCAUCCCAGAUUAGCCUGUGCAGACUGCACAAACAUUAAGUCCUAUUAAACUGUCAUCCCAGAUUAGCCUGUGCAGACAGCACAUACAUUAAGUCCUAUUAAACUGUCAUCCCAGAUUAGCCUGUGCAGACUGCACAUACAUUAAGCCCUAUUUUCCCAGAAUGAGGCUCAUAUAGUUCACUUCACAUCAGUCCUUUUAUGUGCCUGAUUGAAGAAAAUCUCCUAGCAUCAAAUGGUUAGUAUGUGUUUUUAAAAUUAAUCAAUUCGGUAAAUAAAUAGCAAAUAGCAAUUGAUCUCAUAUCAGGUUUAAUCAUAGAAGGUCAAGGCAUAGUUUUGUCUACGUUUCGGCCGAAAUUCAGCCCUUGAACCAAGCGUUUAUCCUUGCAUACAAAAUCCGCUGUAAUAGACUUGUUAAAUUUUAUUUAAUUUUAGCAAAACAAUUAUUUAAAUGACUUCAGCACAUUAUACAAUUAUUCCCUUCAAUAUUUAUUUAAGUUCCUAUAUUUUGUUUUAAGAGCCGGUUCCUAAAGGAUCCCAUGCAGUCAUAAAUCGGUACCCAGCUGAACAACAGGCUGUCUGGUAAGCUGGGCCCGGAUAGGUGCAGCCAGUCUAAAGCUGGGGCUCCAAACUGUCCUGCCAAGUGGGCUGAUAUUACCUCUUCUACAAGGGACAUAUGUCAGUGAUGCGCAAAGAGCUGGUGUUCUGUUCACAGAGAAAAAUCCUAACAACUCCAACUCAGCCACUACAUCUCAAUAGACAUCCUGAAUGUCAAGGCGUUAAGUUUCUUCUGGAUGCAGUUACAGUCACAGCUUUCAAGCCAGCAGCUGUCGAUGUAUUAAGAUUCUCUCCUCUCCAUGUUACCUGACCUGCUGCCUGUGAACAUCCUGCACAUAGAACCUUUAUCCCAAUCGAUGUAAUUAAACCGGCCAAUCAAAAAGAUAGCCUGGUACAGCACUUGUCAUUAGAUUGACGCCAUGCAUGCCUUUGAAGAUCAUUUAUACAUACAAUUUAAGCAUGAUAGUCAAUAAGUGCCUGCGUUGGCUUCUUAAACUACUCGCAGUCCUGAGCAUUAACGAUGGAAUUCCUCAUCUUGAAAUAUUGGGAAGGCAGGAAAACACCUGACAAU